rnacentral:rRNA from 1 species
UUGACCUCGGAUCAGGUAGGAAUACCCGCUGAACUUAAGCAUAUCAAUAAGCGGAGGAAAAGAAACCAACAGGGAUUGCCCCAGUAACGGCGAGUGAAGCGGCAACAGCUCAAAUUUGAAAUCUGGUCCCCAGGGCCCGAGUUGUAAUUUGUAGAGGAUGCUUUUGGUGAGGUGCCGCCCGAGUUCCCUGGAACGGGACGCCACAGAGGGUGAGAGCCCCGUCUGGCUGGCCGCCGAGCCUCUGUAAAGCUCCUUCGACGAGUCGAGUAGUUUGGGAAUGCUGCUCAAAAUGGGAGGUAUAUGUCUUCUAAAGCUAAAUAUUGGCCAGAGACCGAUAGCGCACAAGUAGAGUGAUCGAAAGAUGAAAAGCACCUUGAAAAGAGGGUUAAAUAGUACGUGAAAUUGUUGAAAGGGAAGCGCUUGUGACCAGACUUGGGCGCGGCGGAUCAUCCGGGGUUCUCUCCGGUGCACUUCGCCGCGUCUAGGCCAGCAUCAGUUCGUCGCGGGGGAAAAAGGCUUCGGGAACGUGGCUCCUCCGGGAGUGUUAUAGCCCGUUGCAUAAUACCCUGCGGUGGACUGAGGACCGCGCAUCUGCAAG